UUAAACGGCCGCGGUAUUCUGACCGUGCGAAGGUAGCGCAAUCACUUGUCCUUUAAAUGGGGACCCGUAUGAAUGGUGGAACGAAGGCUUAACUGUCUCCCCCUUUAAGUCAAUGAAAUUGAUCUGCCCGUGCAGAAGCGGGCACAACCAUACAAGACGAGAAGACCCUUUGGAGCUUAAGAUAAAAACUAAUUUAUGUUAAGAGCUACAAAACCUUAAAGCUAAACCAAAUAACACUAGUCCAAUAUCUUCGGUUGGGGCGACCACGGGAGAAAAACAAGCUCCCAUGCGGACUGGGUAACAACCCUAAAACUAAGAGGGACACCUCUAAGUCACAGAACAUCUGACCACAAUUGAUCCGGCCCAAAGGCCGACAAACGAACUAAGUUACCCUAGGGAUAACAGCGCAAUCCCCUUCCAGAGUCCAUAUCGACAAGGGGGUUUACGACCUCGAUGUUGGAUCAGGACAUCCUAAUGGUG
rnacentral:rRNA from 1 species